GGGGAUCAUCUUUGCUUUUGGGUGCUUGCUUGGUGUUUGUGCCAAGUUGGUGGUUGAUUGCUGGAUGUUCUUCGGGGAUGUCGACCGUAAAGGUGCAUGAGUGGUGUUUGGCAUGUUAAUGGUGGUUGGAUGUCUGCUUGCGCAGCAACUUCCAUGCGUUCAUGCCUCUUCAGUUGUGUUACAAGGCUCUAGUUGUCUUGUGCAUAUGGUGGGUUUCUGUGUUGCAUACCUAACGAAGGCAUUGUGUGGCUAGAUGAAAGAUGAUUUCGUUAUACGUUGCUUGCGGCGUUGAACGAACCUCGAAGCGGUCUCUAUGUUCCAUGCUGUCUUUGCCAAAUCAUUGAUCGCAUGGCCCUUGGAGCGCUGCUUGGUGUCUUGGAUACGGAACAUCAUGUGGGCUGUAGGGUGCUCAAUGAUCCUAUUUUUGCCCCCAUUAGCGUUCCCGCUUCUAAAACGAUGGCCCGUCAUGUGUCGGCAUGUUCGUGCAUGAUGGGUUGUGUCGAAGAGGAUUGC
rnacentral:misc_RNA from 1 species